rnacentral:rRNA from 1 species
CCUACGGGUGGCAGCAGUGAGGAAUAUUGGUCAAUGGGCGAGAGCCUGAACCAGCCAAGUCGCGUGCAGGAUGACGGCCCUACGGGUUGUAAAGAUCUGUUGACAGGGACGAAUAAGCAAUGCAAAUAGUUUUUUGUAUGACGGUACCUGUUUAGAAAGCUCCGGCUAACUACGUGCCAGCAGCCGCGGUAAUAGGUAGGGAGCAAGCGUUGUCCGGAAUUAGUGGGCGUAAAGGGCGCGUAGGUGGGCGCGUAAGUCAGGGGUGAAAGCUCCGGGCUCAACCUGGAGACUGCGCUUGAAACUGUUGGUCUUGAGGGCAGGAGCGGAAGGUGGAAUUCCUAGUGUAGCGGUGAAAUGCGUAGAUAUCA